CAAGGAAGGAGUUUACUUGGAGUUUCGUCGCCAACGUCGCGCCGCGGGAUCGUUCGAACACGUAUUUGACGCCGGGACUUUGCGAGGAGAUCGAGCGAGCGUGCGACUACGCUGUUCUUGACGUCGUGCCGGGGCUUGUCGCUGUCGAGGUGAGUAAUUCAGCCUUCCCUUGGAUUUUUGGGCAAGUAUUACUAUUUCUACUCGGUUAGUAGCUGUUUUGCUGAAAUUCGCCGUCGACUGUCCGUAUUUCAGCUCGUUCUCCGCGUAGGAACGUCGGAUCGCGACGAGGCUUGAUUCGUUGGAUUCGGGACUUCGAGAGGAAUCCACGAAGCCCUCACUUUCCAGAUUUGGUGAAGGUUAGCUCGGUCGAAUCCCGUUCCUACUCAGCUGUUGUGAAUUUCUGGACUGAAUCGAGGAUCCUUAAUUGUUUAGCUUGGCGUUAGCUCGUCUACCGGACUUGGAGGUCCCCAGUUGAUCCAGCAGAGGUUGUCCUGGUUCGAGGCUUCGUUCGCUGCCUGGAUUUAGCUUUUGAGGUGGGUUACAUCGGCUUUACUCCUAAGUUCUUAUUGGUCGACAUGUAUAGAUCUUGAUUUCGGUAAAUUGUGUUAGCUCAAAUUCAUGGACUAUAUGUAGAUUGUGAAAUCUGAAUUUUGGAGCAUGUUUUAUAAAUUAAGUAGAUUAUACAUGUUGGACUUGGAAUUUGAAUUAGGAGAAAACCUGCGAUUUGGACCUGUCACCAGUUUUAACUACCUGAUUUAGCUCCAGGAGCCGUUAGAAAAUUGUACUGUCACAGUUUCUUCGAGACGAGUACCCCAGGUAGUUUAGAAUGUAUUUACACUCGUGCUGGUUCGCCGAGUGGAUUUUUACAGGGUCGUUCAGGUUGUUUCGGACUGUUGGGUGCUGUCAGAGUUGACGGUGGACCCGUAUCGCCUUUUUGGCGUCAGAUUGUGCCGAGGGCACGUUACCUGUUGGUUGUUAGACCGGUUUGAGUCGAUUACUUGACUUUGGCUAGUUGGAGCCUGAUUGAGCUCGACAGAGAUACGCUGCAUACUCGGAUGGGCAGCGCCCACGAGUACCACUCCGGAGUCAGGCUGGUGCUUUCGCGUUGGUGUCGCUCAUGCCAGUUGGACUUGCUCUCCACGGACUAGUCAUUGUGGAGGUAGCUGGACAGUCGCAACGGGGCAGGGACGGGUGUAUUCACAGUCCCGGGGACGGGUAUGCUUACAGUCCCGAUUUGGAUUGGGUCAGAUUUGACAUUUCCUACAGUUGGAUAGUGUAGAGCAUGAUAGUGUAGUGGAUGAUAGCGGUAGAGUGUACUUCCUGCUUUUUCUUCUAUCCUUGCUUCCUUCUGUAGACUUAGUGGGUGACCGAUGUCGUUUUGGGCGGUACCCACUGAGGACUACUUGUUUUUACAGUAGUUCUCACGCCCAGUUGUUACUUAUGUUUUGCAGAGCCACAGGUGCCGGCUGCUGCAUCUUUCGCCGAUCAGGAUCGAGGCAAGGGCGUUGCGAGCUAGAGCCCUACCCGACAGUCAGAGCUAGAGGCUUUCCCCUACUGCAGGUAGUUGUUGUUUUGGAGUUUAUGUACAUAGUUGUUUAACUCGCCAGUGCGAGUAGUUUUGUAUUUUGGAUGCUAGCUAUGUAUAUGAAACUCAGUUAUUUAGUUGUUCUUGAGCAGCUCUAUGCUACUGUUUGUAGUAUCGAUUUUCUACAGGUACUUUGACGCUUCGUAUACAGGGGAAAUUCCUUUGUAUACGGCGGAUUUGUCGACGUGUCCGGGGAAUGUGAUAUCCGGGGCGUGACAGCCAAAAAAAAAGAUUGAAAACUAAAUUAAAAAAUAGUACAAAGGUUGGAGACUAAUGAUGUAAUUAAUCCAAAUAAAUUUCUACAAAAUUUAAGUGAUUAGAGAUGUCCCUCCAAAAGUUGGACACCUUUAUAGGUUGCCCUUCUGAUGCUCUUUGGUUAGUCCAUUGUUUAUUUUAUAGCAUUUGGUAAGUAAAAUAACAAUUUUGCCAUAGCAAAUCCGUUCUCUCAAAAAGUCCCAACAUCGAAGAUCGCAAUGGUAAGAAAUGUGCAAAUAUACACGGUGAAUAAGUUCCAAUGGUCAUCUUCUUCCUCAAUUAAAA
rnacentral:lncRNA from 1 species